ACAGUAGGACUUGAUGUUGAUAC
rnacentral:piRNA from 1 species